rnacentral:rRNA from 1 species
GAUGAACGCUGGCGGCGUGCCUAAUACAUGCAAGUCGAGCGAACAGAUAAGGAGCUUGCUCCUUUGACGUUAGCGGCGGACGGGUGAGUAACACGUGGGUAACCUACCUAUAAGACUGGGAUAACUUCGGGAAACCGGAGCUAAUACCGGAUAACAUUUGGAACCGCAUGGUUCUAAAGUGAAAGAUGGUUUUGCUAUCACUUAUAGAUGGACCCGCGCCGUAUUAGCUAGUUGGUAAGGUAACGGCUUACCAAGGCGACGAUACGUAGCCGACCUGAGAGGGUGAUCGGCCACACUGGAACUGAGACACGGUCCAGACUCCUACGGGAGGCAGCAGUAGGGAAUCUUCCGCAAUGGGCGAAAGCCUGACGGAGCAACGCCGCGUGAGUGAUGAAGGGUUUCGGCUCGUAAAACUCUGUUAUUAGGGAAGAACAAUUGUGUAAGUAACUGUGCACGUCUUGACGGUACCUAAUCAGAAAGCCACGGCUAACUACGUG